AUUGAACGCUGGCGGCAGGCCUAACACAUGCAAGUCGAGCGGAGCGGCGGACGGGUGAGUAAUGCCUAGGAAUCUGCCUGGUAGUGGGGGAUCACGUCCGGAAACGGGCGCUAAUACCGCAUACUAUCAGAUGAGCCUAGGUCGGCUGAGCUAGUUGGGGGGGUAAAGGCCUACCAAGGCGACGAUCCGUAACUGGUCUGAGAGGAUGAUCAGUCACACUGUAACUGAGACACGGUCCUGACUCCUACGGGAGGCAUGAGUGGGGAAUAUUGGACAAUGGGCGAAUGCCUGUUCCAGCCAUGCCGCGUGUGUGAAGAAGGUCUUCGGAUUGUAAAGCACUUAAAGUUGGUAGGCGUGACCAACAGAAUAAGCACCGGCUAACUUCGUGCCAGCAGCCGCGGUAAUUC
rnacentral:rRNA from 1 species